CACAGUUCUGGUAAUAAGCCAUGUACGACACAUACUGCACAGAGUUAUCCUUCCCCAGUUGCAACAAGUUGAUGUUUAUACAGCUACCACCAAAAAGUCUUCAUCGCCACUCAAGAUGAAAAAUGUACUCAACAGCUUUCCUUUUAAGAGCAACACAACGUCUAGACAGUCCCCCAGUAACGUGUAGGAACCAUAAAGGCUUUUUGCUCCAUACAGGUGUUUCUGCAACAGAGGUGAAGAGGAGAAUAUAGCUAAUUGGUGCAAGGGAAAAGGAAUCAAACCAUGACGCCCAAAGA
rnacentral:misc_RNA from 1 species